rnacentral:rRNA from 1 species
AGAGUUUGAUCCUGGCUCAGAACGAACGCUGGCGGCGUGCCUAACACAUGCAAGUCGAGCGCGAAAGGGGGGGCAACUCCCCGAGUAGAGCGGCGCACGGGUGAGUAACGCGUGGGUAACCUACCUUCGGGCGGGGGAUAACCACUCGAAAGGGUGGCUAAUACCGCAUGAGACCACGGGGUCCUCGGGCCCCGGGGCCAAAGGCGGCACCGGCUUGCCGGUGCUGUCACCUGAAGAUGGGCCCGCGUACGAUUAGCUAGUUGGUAGGGUAACGGCCUACCAAGGCUGCGAUCGUUAGCUGGUCUGAGAGGAUGGCCAGCCACACUGGAACUGGAACACGGUCCAGACUCCUACGGGAGGCAGCAGUGAGGAAUAUUGCGCAAUGGGGGAAACCCUGACGCAGCAACGCCGCGUGGGUGAAGAAGGCCUUCGGGUCGUAAAGCCCUUUCGGACGGGACGAACGCUCCGCGGGGAUAAUCCGCGGAGUCUGACGGUACCGUAGGAAGAAGCACCGGCUAACUCCGUGCCAGCAGCCGCGGUAAUACGGAGGGUGCAAGCGUUGUUCGGAAUUACUGGGCGUAAAGCGCGUGUAGGCGGCCUUGUAAGUCAGAUGUGAAAGCCCCCGGCUUAACCGGGGAAGUGCAUCUGAAACUGCUUGGCUUGAGUACGGGAGAGGGAGGCGGAAUUCCCAGUGUAGAGGUGAAAUUCGUAGAUAUUGGGAGGAACACCGGUGGCGAAAGCGGCCUCCUGGACCGAUACUGACGCUGAGACGCGAAAGCGUGGGGAGCAAACAGGAUUAGAUACCCUGGUAGUCCACGCUGUAAACGAUGGGCACUAGGUGUGGGGGGUAUCCACUCCUCCCGUGCCGCAGCUAACGCAUUAAGUGCCCCGCCUGGGGAGUACGGCCGCAAGGCUAAAACUCAAAGGAAUUGACGG